AGAGUUUGAUCCUGGCUCAGGAUGAACGCUAGCGGCAGGCUUAACACAUGCAAGUCGAGGGGCAGCGCGGGUAGCAAUACCUGGCGGCGACCGGCAAACGGGUGCGGAACACGUACACAACAUACCUGAUUCAGGGGAAUAACCCGAAGAAAUUCGGACUAAUACCCCAUAAGACAGUAGGAUGGCAUCAUCCAGCUGUU
rnacentral:rRNA from 1 species